rnacentral:rRNA from 1 species
AUUGAACGCUGGCGGCAGGCUUAACACAUGCAAGUCGAACGAGUGGCGGACGGGUGAGUAAUGCUUGGGAAUCUAGCUUAUGGAGGGGGAUAACUACGGGAAACUGUAGCUAAUACCGCGUACCAUAGGAUGAGCCCAAGUGGGAUUAGGUAGUUGGUGAGGUAAAGGCUCACCAAGCCGACGAUCGCUAGCUGGUCUGAGAGGAUGAACGGCCACACUGGGACUUAAACCCGGCCCAGACUCCUACGGGAGGCAGCAGUUGGGAAUAUUGCGCAAUUGGGGCAACCUGACGCAGCCAUGCCGCUUGAAUGAAGAAGGCCUUCGGGUUGUAAAGUUCUUUCGGUAGCGAGGCGUUAACUACAGAAGAAGCACCGGCUAACUCCGUGCCAGCCGCCGCGGUAAUAC